rnacentral:rRNA from 1 species
GAUGAACGCUGGCGGCGUGCCUAAUACAUGCAAGUCGAGCGAACGGACGAGAAGCUUGCUUCUCUGAUGUUAGCGGCGGACGGGUGAGUAACACGUGGAUAACCUACCUAUAGGAAUGGAGUACGUUCGGGAACCCGAACCUAGUACCGGUAAUUAUUUUGAACGGCAGGGUUCAAAAGUGAAAGAGGGCUUUGAUGUCCCUAAUAAAGGGUCCCGCGUUGCAUUAGCUAGUUGGUAAGGUAACGGCUUACCAAGGCAACGAUGCAUAGCCGACCUGAGAGGGUGAUCGGCCACACUGGAACUGAGACACGGUCCAGACUCCUACGGGAGGCAGCAGUAGGGAAUCUUCCGCAAUGGGCGAAAGCCUGACGGAGCAACGCCGCGUGAGUGAUGAAGGUCUUCGGAUCGUAAAACUCUGUUAUUAGGGAAGAACAUAUGUGUAAGUAACUGUGCACAUCUUGACGGUACCUAAUCAGAAAGCCACGGCUAACUACGUG